UUAAAGUUGUUGGAGUUAAAAAGCCCGUAGUUGGACUUGUGGCAUCACUGGUGGAUUGAUUGUAUCAUUACCGUUCAGUAUUGUCUUCCUAGGGUGGAACUUGUGGGGCAUUAGGUUGUCUUGCAAGGUAUGUCCUUCAUUUACUGUGAAAAAAUUAGGGUGUUCAAAGCAGGCUUAGGCCAUUGGAUAGACUAGCAUGGAAUAAUGAGAUAGGACUUUGGUGCUAUUUUGUUGGUUUGUGCACUUAUGUAAUGAUUAAUAGGGAUAGUUGACGGUAUUUGUAUUCCAUUGUCAGAGGUGAAAUUCUUGGAUUUUUGGGAGACGAACUACUGCGAAAGCAUUUACCAAGGAUGUUUUCACUAAUCAAGAACGAAAGUUAGGGGAUCGAAGAUGAUUAGAUACCAUCGUAGUCUUAACCAUAAACUAUGCCAGUUAGGGAUUGGCAGGGCAUCAUUAUGUCUCUUUCAGCACCUCAUGAGAAAUCAUUAAACUUUUGGGUUCCGGGGGGAGUAUGGUCGCAAGGCUGAAACUUAAAGAAAUUGACCGAAGGGCACCACCAGGAGUGGAGCCUGCGGCUUAAUUUGACUCAACACGGGGAAACUUACCAGGUCCAGACAUAAUGAGGAUUGACAGAUUGAGAGUUCUUUCUUGAUCUAUGGGUGGUGU
rnacentral:rRNA from 1 species